rnacentral:rRNA from 1 species
AGAGAUAAGUGCUGAAAGCAUCUAAGCACGAAACUUGCCCCGAGAUGAGUUCUCCCUGAGACUGUAAGUCUCCUGAAGGAACGUUGAAGACGACGACGUUGAUAGGCCGGGUGUGUAAGCGCAGCGAUGCGUUGAGCUAACCGGUACUAAUGAACCGUGAGGCUUAACCUUAC